AUACGUAGGUGGCAAGCGUUAUCCGGAAUUAUUGGGCGUAAAGAGGGAGCAGGCGGCAGCAAGGGUCUGUGGUGAAAGCCUGAAGCUUAACUUCAGUAAGCCAUAGAAACCAGGCAGCUAGAGUGCAGGAGAGGAUCGUGGAAUUCCAUGUGUAGCGGUGAAAUGCGUAGAUAUAUGGAGGAACACCAGUGGCGAAGGCGACGAUCUGGCCUGCAACUGACGCUCAGUCCCGAAAGCUGGGGGAGCAAAUAGGAUUAGAUACCCUAGUAGUCCACGCCGUAAACGAUGAGUACUAAGUGUUGGAUGUCAAAGUUCAGUGCUGCAGUUAACGCAAUAAGUACUCCGCCUGAGUAGUACGUUCGCAAGAAUGAAACUCAAAGGAAUUGACGGGG
rnacentral:rRNA from 1 species